GCAAGUCGAGCGCACCUUCGGGUGAGCGGCGGACGGGUUAGUAACGCGUGGGAACAUACCCUUUUCUACGGAAUAGCCUCGGGAAACUGAGAGUAAUACCGUAUAAGCCCUUCGGGGGAAAGAUUUAUCGGGAAAGGAUUGGCCCGCGUUAGAUUAGAUAGUUGGUGGGGUAAUGGCCUACCAAGUCUACGAUCUAUAGCUGGUUUUAGAGGAUGAUCAGCAACACUGGGACUGAGACACGGCCCAGACUCCUACGGGAGGCAGCAGUGGGGAAUCUUAGACAAUGGGCGCAAGCCUGAUCUAGCCAUGCCGCGUGUGUGAUGAAGGUCUUAGGAUCGUAAAGCACUUUCGCCAGGGAUGAUAAUGACAGUACCUGGUAAAGAAACCCCGGCUAACUCCGUGCCAGCAGCCGCGGUAAUACGGAGGGGGUUAGCGUUGUUCGGAAUUACUGGGCGUAAGCGUACGUAGGCGGAUCAGAAAGUAUAGGGUGAAAUCCCAGGGCUCAACCCUGGAACUGCCUUGUAAACUCCUGGUCUUGAGUUCGAGAGAGGUGAGUGGAAUUCCAAGUGUAGAGGUGAAAUUCGUAGAUAUUUGGAGGAACACCAGUGGCGAAGGCGGCUCACUGGCUCGAUACUGACGCUGAGGUACGAAAGUGUGGGGAGCAAACAGGAUUAGAUACCCUGGUAGUCCACACCGUAAACGAUGAAUGCCAGUCGUCGGGCAGUAUACUGUUCGGUGACACACCUAACGGAUUAAGCAUUCCGCCUGGGGAGUACGGUCGCAAGAUUAAAACUCAAAGGAAUUGA
rnacentral:rRNA from 1 species